rnacentral:tRNA from 1 species
GUGAGAGUAGUUUAACAAAAACGUUAGAUUGUGAUUCUGAAGAUAAGGACUAAAACCCCUUCCCCCACC